UGUCUCCUCCAUCUCCUCCAAGAAAUGGAUUUAAGCCCACCUCGUGUGGGCUUUUUUUU
rnacentral:ncRNA from 1 species